AGGCCUGUAACGUAAGACAACAUCUUCAAACUUGAUUGCUCCUGAUGAAGGCCAUCUAGGAGGGGGACGAUUGCUCUCAAUAACAAGUGGAGCCUCUGAUGGCAACUCUAUAUAUGUGCCAACCCGUUCCACAGAAUUUAAGCUAUUCUCAGCCAAACUAGCAAGUCUCAGUACAGCAGUCAAUAAACUAGUGAUGUUUAAAGCAUAACUGAGAAGUAGACCCAUUGUAGAUGCAAAAGCCUGCUGGUUAUCUGCCCUCCCAUUCUGCAUAACUGCAAAGGUCGCUGUAAACCAAAUCAUAAUGCCCCCUAAUGUUUCCAACCGGAUU
rnacentral:lncRNA from 1 species